UCCUUUAAAAAAACCAUUAAAUGACUAAAAGUAAUUCUUCUGCUGCUUCUCUCCAAGAUUGGUUUCUCACAAUGAAUCAUCAAAACGCUUCCAGGGUUUGAUGGCGAUCUUCCCUUCAAAUUAGAAACUGGGUGAGUCGGAUGAGGUGCAGUUGUUUUUCUACUUCAUUGAGUCUGAAAGAAAUGCAGAAGAAGAUCCUUUGCUGCUAUGGCUAACAGGACUACAGGAGGCCCUGGUUGUUCUGCGUUUAGCGGCCUUGUAUUUGAAAUAGGGAUACAUUUGAGGCCAAAGACAUAAAUUCAAGGAUGGAAUUUGCUUACUUAAAGGGACUUAUAUCAGAAGAACUUUAUGAGAUUAGUAGUCCCUGGCUCCAGGAUUUUCAGUUCCUACACCUUGGUGUCGGGGGAUUGUAGAAUAUUGGGUGAGAUGCAAUAAAAGCAUACGGUACACGAAAGAUCUUACAAGUUCUUAUCCAUUGCAUCGAAUCUCUUUGCAAAAGGCUACAAAGUUUUGAUCUACAGUGGAGAUCAAGACAUGGCUAUUCCAUAUGUGGGUACCUUUGCAUGGAUAGAUUCUUUAAAUUUGACAAUUGAAUAUGAUUGGCAGCCAUGGUUUGUUGAUGGCCAAGUUGCAGGGUUGGUAUUUAAUUAUCACUAAUUUUGAUUUUUGGAUCCAUUUUCAUCUGCUGCAUAUAUAUAUAUUUCUGAAUUAAAAUACCUAUGACACGAAAGAAUAUUGCGAGCUAUACAAUAAGGAUAUCUCUCUCCUUUUUGUUUACUAAUAUGGUAAAAACUCUUAUAGUUAAAAAGACUUAAAAAUAUUUUUAUCCGGGGUCAAUAUAAAAAAAGAUGGGAGACAUAAAUAAAUUUAAAAUUUAUGGAUUAAUUUAGAUAAAUUACAUAUAUUUAUGUCAUGACCCGACUCCAUGGGCCAGACCGGCACUAGGGUCCAGGUAAGCUUAAGGCCCCG